ACUUGUGCUCUUCCGAUCUCAUGACUGAAAUUUGAUUAAACGGUAAUAAAUGGUGCUUCCUUAGCAACAGCUAGCCCCUUAAGGUCCUGGAAACCUUGCUUCCAAAAUUCCUUAGAGACUUACUCUAUCCCUGACCCCCUCCCAACCUGAG